rnacentral:rRNA from 1 species
UGGGGAAUUUUGGACAAUGGGGGGCAACCCUGAUCCAGCAAUGCCGCGUGUGUGAAGAAGGCCUUCGGGUUGUAAAGCACUUUUGUCCGGAAAGAAAUCAUCCUGGUUAAUACCCGGGGUGGAUAACGGUACCGGAAGAGUAAGCACCGGCUAACUACGUGCCAGCAGCCGCGGUAAUACGUAGGGUGCAAGCGUUAAUCGGAAUUACUGGGCGUAAAGCGUGCGCAGGCGGUUCGCUAAGACAGAUGUGAAAUCCCCGGGCUUAACCUGGGAACUGCAUUUGUGACUGGCGGGCUAGAGUAUGGCAGAGGGGGGUAGAAUUCCACGUGUAGCAGUGAAAUGCGUAGAGAUGUGGAGGAAUACCGAUGGCGAAGGCAGCCCCCUGGGCCAAUACUGACGCUCAUGCACGAAAGCGUGGGGAGCAAACAGGAUUAGAUACCCUGGUAGUCCACGCCCUAAACGAUGUCAACUAGUUGUCGGGUCUUCAUUGACUUGGUAACGUAGCUAACGCGUGAAGUUGACCGCCUGGGGGAGUACGGUCGCAAGAUUAA